UUUAGGGCUUUAUACUGGUCUCUGUACAGAUCUCUUGGUCUCGAAAUCUUUGCCCUUUAGAACUCAAGCAAAGCACAAGACAGAACUGAAGCAGAAGAAACAGGCAAAACAGGAACAGAGGAUACAGAAGCAGACAAGGGAGCCGUAUUGGGGGCUGGCGCAGCAGCCUCAGGGAACAGAGUAGUUUCAAAAGUGACUCCCGGCAUAGGAAGAUAAGUUCAGGAAGUUUAAUGCCCGAAAUGUAAAUGUAAGUAAGUACUUACAUUUCGGGCAUUUUAAAAAUGGUCCUAUCCAGAGCGACUUACAAAAGUGCUUUGUCAGUUACUCACAGAUCAUUUGCUGUACUUCUAUUCAGAAACAUACAGAAAUAUACAGAAGAGACAGGUUUACUCUCUUGCCAGUAGGUAUUUUCCUCCAUCCUCAAGAUGAGCCAAGGCCAGGAGGUGCAUAUGCUGAAGGACUGUAUGCCAACGCAGACACAUAUGCAUAUGCCUUUACUGACAAACCAGGACAACGCAUCCCAAAAGCUGGAGCCGUAGCUGAAGCUGGAAUAUGACGAGCUGGAGCAGCGUGGAGCAUCUUUGAAGCUGAAGCCAAAGGGCCAAACGCUUCUACAGCUGCUCAGGCUAAUGUCCUGGAAGCGAGUGCCAUGGCUUGGGCUGAGGGCUGAGGUUGCAAGUGCAUCAGCUGGUCCACUUAGACUGAUCGCUGGUCUGGGAGUGGACACAGGUGUAAGAGUUGGGCUUGUGGGAGCAGAAGUUAAGUUCUUGGGUACUGGUAUUAAAGUUGGUGAUACUGGUGUUGGGGUUUCAGUGCUUGGAAGUGAAGUA